ACCUACUCUGCCUCCGCCUGCUCCAAUGCAGGGGUGAAGUCACUGCCAACGUUUAACCCUUUCCCCACGUGGGCCUGGCUCCAGUCAGAUCGAGGGUCUGGGAGGGCUGCAGGGAUCUCUCAGUCGCCAAUGGUUGCAGACAAUCCAGUAAGCCACAGCUGUUACUUGCUGCACUGAACCCUGCCUGCGCUGAGUACCGAAAGCAGGAGGGAAGGUAGCCACAUCUCUUGAGCCCGGCGCUGUCCUAAGCUCCUGACAUCCCCACAGGCCUGAGAAAGGGGCACCACAAACAGGAACCAGGCUGAGACUGAGCCUGUGGACCCUGGUAGCAAGGGCGCCCUCUCUCUAAGAAGCCCUCUGUCAUGCUACCGAUGUUGCAGAACACCUGGGGCGGAGUAGGGAGUGCCAAAGCGCAGGGGAUGAGUGCACAGCAGGGAGACUUCUAUGGUCUGCAGACAGGUGACAAUGACAAACAGCAAUAAAAGCCACACACCAUAGCUCAGGAUAACAAGGGCUGAGAUGCGUUUGGACAAUGAGAAGAAAAUAAAAAUUAAAAAAAACAGCUGAUUCACCAAAUGAAGGGCA
ensembl:lncRNA novel transcript